rnacentral:rRNA from 1 species
UACGGGGGGGGCAAGCGUUGUUCGGAAUUACUGGGCGUAAAGGGCUCGUAGGUGGCCAACUAAGUCAGACGUGAAAUCCCUCGGCUUAACCGGGGAACUGCGUCUGAUACUGGAUGGCUUGAGUUUGGGAGAGGGACGCGGAAUUCCAGGUGUAGCGGUGAAAUGCGUAGAUAUCUGGAGGAACACCGGUGGCGAAGGCGGCGUCCUGGACCAACACUGACGCUGAGACGCGAAAGCGUGGGGAGCAAACAGG